AAAGUUCAACGGCCGCGGUAUCCUGACCGUGCAAAGGUAGCAUAAUCACUUGUUCCUUAAUUAGGGACUAGCAUGAAAGGCUCAACGAGGGUUCAACUGUCUCUUAUUUUUAAUCAGUGAAAUUGACCUCCCAGUGAAGAGGCUGGGAUAUAACAAUAAGACGAGAAGACCCUAUGGAGCUUUAAUUAACUAGACUAAUUAUUCCAAUACACAAAUCUACUUAGACCCAAAAUAUGAAUAUAGACUAGUAAUUUCGGUUGGGGUGACCUCGGAGAACAAAAAAUCCUCCGAAUGAUUUUAGCAUAGACCAACUAGCCAAAGCAACUUCAAAAAUCUAAUUGACCCAAUUUUUUUUUUGAUCAACGAACCAAGUUACCCUAGGGAUAACAGCGCAAUCCUAUUUAAGAGUUCAUAUCGACAAUUAGGGUUUACGACCUCGAUGUUGGAUCAGGACAUCCCAA
rnacentral:rRNA from 1 species